AUUGAACGCUGGCGGCAUGCCUUACACAUGCAAGUCGAACGGCAGCACGGGUGCUUGCACCUGGUGGCGAGUGGCGAACGGGUGAGUAAUACAUCGGAACAUGUCCUGUAGUGGGGGAUAGCCCGGCGAAAGCCGGAUUAAUACCGCAUACGAUCUACGGAUGAAAGCGGGGGACCUUCGGGCCUCGCGCUAUCGGGUUGGCCGAUGGCUGAUUAGCUAGUUGGUGGGGUAAAGGCCUACCAAGGCGACGAUCAGUAGCUGGUCUGAGAGGACGACCAGCCACACGGGGACUGAGACACGGCCCAGACUCCUACGGGAGGCAGCAGUGGGGAAUUUUGGAAAAUGGGCGAAAGCCUGAUCCAGCAAUGCCGCGUGUGUGAAGAAGGCCUUCGGGUUGUAAAGCACUUUUGUCCGGAAAGAAAUCCUUGGCCCUAAUACGGUCGGGGGAUGACGGUACCGGAAGAAUAAGCACCGGCUAACUACGU
rnacentral:rRNA from 1 species